rnacentral:tRNA from 1 species
GGGCUGGUAGUCUAGCUCGGUCAGGACAUCCGCUUGACGUGCGGAAGGUCACCGGUUCAAAUCCGGUCCGGCCCACCA